CCCUUAGAUGUUCUGGGCCGCACGCGCGCUACACUGAUACAUGCAACGAGUUUAUAACCUUGAUCUGACGGUCUGGGUAAUCUUCAAACUGUAUCGUGUUAGGGAUCGAUUCUUGCAAUUUUUAAUCGUAAACGAGGAAUUCCUAGUAAACGCAAGUCAUCAGCUUGCAUUGAUUAUGUCCCUGCCCUUUGUACACACCGCCCGUCGACUCUACCGAUUGAAUGGUUCGGUGAAAACUUUGGACUGUGGCAUUGUCCUUCAUUGGACUUCGCCGUAGGAAAUUGUUUAAACCUCAUCAUUUAGAGGAAGAAUAAGUCGUAACA
rnacentral:rRNA from 1 species